GGAUGCGAUCAUACCAGCACUAAAGCAGCGGAUCCCAUCAGAACUCCGAAGUUAAGCGUGCUUGGGCGAGAGUAGUACUAGGAUGGGUGACCUCCUGGGAAGUCCUCGAGUUGCAUCCC
rnacentral:rRNA from 1 species